UUUGUCCUGUGCGACCCACCAGCAUUUUAUCGGAUUUUUGCAUCCCUAACAAACUAGACUUAAACACUGUGUGGAGGAUUCAAAGGGACUUUGACUAAGAGGUUACUUUUAGCUCUUGUUGCCUGAAACAGUUACAUGGCAUGUUUGUAGCUCAUUGAUUGAGGAGCCUAUCCUACUAAUCCUAGGACUCAGACUUGUGAAAAGUCAAAAUACUUAUUUGGGAAGGCGUUAAGACACUUCAGAUGGGCUCGUAUCACACGGAAAGUAGCCGAAAAAUCUUUACCGAGAAGUCCCUGGUUACUAGUCUAUGACGUCAGAAGGUAACAGCUCGUGACUACAAUAGAAACAACUAGGUAAUGUUUGUUCCGAAUUAAAUUUUGAAAUCAUGGCGAAUCUGCUAUCCUUGGAUAACAAAGUCUUUGCCUCGUAUGUUUUCUAUGCUGCAGUGUUAAUCCUUAAGAUCUUUGCUGUUGUUUUCUUGAUAGUAUAUUAUCGUCUUACAAGGAAGGUUUUCCCGUCUGAAG